AGAGUUUGAUCCUGGCUCAGGACGAACGCUGGCGGCGUGCUUAACACAUGCAAGUCGAACGGAAAGGCCCUGCUUUUGUGGGGUGCUCGAGUGGCGAACGGGUGAGUAACACGUGAGUAACCUGCCCUUGACUUUGGGAUAACUUCAGGAAACUGGGGCUAAUACCGGAUAGGAGCUCCUGCUGCAUGGUGGGGGUUGGAAAGUUUCGGCGGUUGGGGAUGGACUCGCGGCUUAUCAGCUUGUUGGUGGGGUAGUGGCUUACCAAGGCUUUGACGGGUAGCCGGCCUGAGAGGGUGACCGGCCACAUUGGGACUGAGAUACGGCCCAGACUCCUACGGGAGGCAGCAGUGGGGAAUAUUGCACAAUGGGCGGAAGCCUGAUGCAGCAACGCCGCGUGCGGGAUGACGGCCUUCGGGUUGUAAACCGCUUUCGCCUGUGACGAAGCGUGAGUGACGGUAAUGGGUAAAGAAGCACCGGCUAACUACGUGCCAGCAGCCGCGGUGAUACGUAGGGCGCGAGCGUUGUCCGGAUUUAUUGGGCGUAAAGGGCUCGUAGGUGGUUGAUCGCGUCGGAAGUGUAAUCUUGGGGCUUAACCCUGAGCGUGCUUUCGAUACGGGUUGACUUGAGGAAAGUAGGGGAGAAUGGAAUUCCUGGUGGAGCGGUGGAAUGCGCAGAUAUCAGAGGAACACCAGUGGCGA
rnacentral:rRNA from 1 species